rnacentral:rRNA from 1 species
AGAGUUUGAUCAUGGCUCAGAUUGAACGCUGGCGGCAUGCCUAACACAUGCAAGUCGAACGGCAGCACAGUGCGUAGCAAUACGCAUGGGUGGCGAGUGGCGGACGGGUGAGGAAUGCAUCGGAAUCUACCCAGUAGCGGGGGAUAACCUGGGGAAACUCAGGCUAAUACCGCAUACGACCUACGGGUGAAAGCGGGGGACCGUAAGGCCUCGCACUAUUGGAUGAGCCGAUGCCGGAUUAGCUGGUUGGUAGGGUAAUGGCCUACCAAGGCUACGAUCCGUAGCUGGUCUGAGAGGACGAUCAGCCACACCGGAACUGAGACACGGUCCGGACUCCUACGGGAGGCAGCAGUGGGGAAUAUUGGACAAUGGGGGAAACCCUGAUCCAGCAAUGCCGCGUGUGUGAAGAAGGCCUGCGGGUUGUAAAGCACUUUCGGAGGGGACAAAAAGCGUCGGGCUAACACCCAGGCGUCUUGAUUAACCCUCAUA